rnacentral:rRNA from 1 species
UACGUAGGGUGCGAGCGUUGUCCGGAAUUAUUGGGCGUAAAGCGUGCGUAGGUGGUUUUUUAAGUCCGUUGUGAAAGCCCUGGGCUCAACCUGGGAAUGGCAGUGGAUACUGGAAAGCUAGAGUGCGGUAGAGGGUAGUGGAAUUCCCGGUGUAGCAGUGAAAUGCGUAGAGAUCGGGAGGAACACCAGUGGCGAAGGCGGCUACCUGGACCAGCACUGACACUGAGGCACGAAAGCGUGGGGAGCAAACAGG